rnacentral:lncRNA from 1 species
CCAGAAGUGUUGGAUUGGUCAUUUGGUUUGGGUUCUAUGUCAGAAACCAUUUGCAGACAAAUGGCAAGGCAGGGCUCAGACAGUCCUCAGAGGGGACAUUUGUGAGAUUUUGAUUCUGCUGGAAAGCUGAGAUAUGCAUUUGUCUGUAGGAAACUGAUGAAGCAGGGUUGUCAUUGCCUUCAAAAUGAAAUUUAUACAUGGGGUUGGCCGGGCUCCUCUUUCCUUCUUAUACUCCAACAGGAGUUGGCCUGGCUGGAAGCCUUGUAGUCACCACCGACUCUACCACUUCCUUCAAUCCCUAAAGCCAACCAGUGGCCAAGUCUUGCUUAUUUUAUUUUUGUAACGUCUGUCACGUGUAUUCCCGCUCCUGCUGCCCUGAUCUGGUCGAUCACUUCUCCCCACCGGGACUAGGAUCACCGCUGGCUCUCGGCUUCCAUCUUGCUCCUCUGAAAUCCCCCAGAAUCACCUUCUGAAAGCUUCCUGCUGCCCAGGUCACCUCCCGCAUGCUCUCCCGCUGCAUUUCACUCGAUUAAACCAUUGUUUCCUUCUGCACCAAAGUUUA